rnacentral:rRNA from 1 species
CCUACGGGUGGCAGCAGUGAGGAAUAUUGGUCAAUGGACGCAAGUCUGAACCAGCCAUGCCGCGUGCAGGAAGACGGUACUGUGAAUUGUAAACCUCUUUUGUACGAGGGCAAACACAGAUACGCGUACCUGGCUGAAAGUAUCUGACGAAUAAGGAUCGGCUAACUCCGUGCCAGCAGCCGCGGUAAUACGGAGGAUUCAAGCGUUAUCCGGAUUUAUUGGGUUUAAAGGGUGCGUAGGCGGUCGGAUAAGUUAGCGGUGAAAUCCCGAGGCUCAACUUCGGAAUUGCCUUUGAUACUGUUCGGCUAGAGAGUAGUUGAGGUAGGCGGAAUGUAUGGUGUAGCGGUGAAAUGCUUAGAGAUCGUACAGAACACCGAUUGCGAAGGCAGCUUACCAGGC